rfam:Octopus bimaculoides Scaffold1137_contig_14, whole genome shotgun sequence.
ACCACCUUCAGUAGUACAUAUGUUAAAAUUGGAAUGAUGCAGAGAAGAUUUGCAUGGCUCCUGCACAAGAGUGACAUGCAAAUUCAUGAAGUGUUCCAUAUUUUA